rnacentral:lncRNA from 1 species
CGGCGGCGGCAGCGGAGCGCGGAGCGGCAGAGUGGAGAAGGUGGGAUGUGGCAGCGGCAGCGGUAGCGACGUGGGUGGAAGGAUCGGGGGGAGAGAUCCGGGCGCGGUGGGGUUGAACAGAGAGGAGGGAAGGGGAGGCGGGGCUCGUAGUAGAGAGGUAGGCGAACGCGAGCGCGGCGGCGGCGAGGGCGAGCGCAAGCGCCGCGGGGAGGGUGCAGCAAAGGGCGCAGCGGCGGGUGGCGGAAGAAAAAAAAAUAGCGAAGAAAA